ACUUUUGGUCCCCCAGCGACGACAGUCUCGAGGUGCCGGCGAGCCUGGCCAUGAUUGUGUGUGUGUGUGCGCGCGCGCUCGCGUUCCGCUUGGCUGAGAGCGGUUUUCCAACUGUGGCUCGGGGGCUUAUUGGACCGGCCGCUUGGGUGACGCUGCGGCGCGGCUGCGGGGCUCUCUGGACUGUGGACCUGAUCGACGUGGCAUCGCAUGACCUGGGCUGGCUGCUUGGUUAAUGCUGCACUACAGCUGUGAGGCUGCCUGGACCGGUCGUGUUCGGCUGCAGGAAAAUGCUACCCCUUUGUGGCGAAGGACAUCUUCAGUCUUCGAGGCUUCCCGGUUCGGCCUCCUGUGUGAUGCACCGUAGUUGCAGCGUGAGACUUUCCCCCGCCGCUAACGACUCUUUCUGGGCUAGCUAGCUGAGUGACUCUGUGCUGUGGUCACUGAAAUUUCUUCCGCUAGCUGUGGGAAUCGUGGAGUGUGUGUGUGUGUGUGUGUUCUGUGUUAUGUACUGUUGAUUAUGUAUUGAUUGUAAAGCGUCCUUGAGCAUGGGAAAGGCGCUAUAUAAAUAAAAGUGAUGAUGAAGAUGAUGAAGAAUACUCAGUAUGCUGCCCUAAAGAAAUUACAGCACUUACAAAGACAUAUUUAACAUAUUUAGAGUUUAUUUAGGGCCUUUUUCCACUUAACAAAAUACCAGAACCUGUGGAGCCAGCAAACUAGAAUUAUUGGCCGUUGGUCCAAUACUAAAGGUUUCUGUGUCUGUUUUCAGGUAACUGCUCAAGAUUUGCACCAAAAGGACCUAAUGAUAGCAUUCUCUCAUUCUCUUUGGGUAACAUUUGCAUCUGAAGCCGAUGACAAUUUAACGAAUUAUUUACUCUUCCAGGUGAAGAUAAAGUCACCAAGCACUAUUACACGAUCCGUAAAUGUACCACAACAUAAAAACUUAAAUGUUAUGUGCUACUUCAAUGUUAUGUCCACUGCUAUUUUAGUGUUUUAACUACUGUGGCUGUGACAAUCACCGCAUCACCAUACCUACCAGGGCUUGAGCUUAUUACCAUUAUCACUGCAUUUUUUCUGUAUUUCAUAUUUUCAUAGUUGAUUCACCAUCAUUAAAUUCCGCUUUCACCACUUUACUACUUUACUAACAGCUCUUUCUUCGUGAGCUAAAAAAGACACGGCUGUAACGUUAGCUGAGAUCCGUUUAUCUAAAAGUCUGACUGCCUUUCUCUGUGUAAAUUUUAUGCCAUGUGAUCUUUCAUGGCUUCCUGUGGUCUUGAUAUGGCUUUAAUUUAACAUAGCAAUGACAAAAUACUAAGAGGCACACUGAGAUGCUGAGAAACUGAACAGGGCUCAGAGUCAUUGAGUGCUAGUGCUGGUGUGCUCGCCUUUUUUUGCAACAACAGUUUUGAAUGCUUGGACAUUUCAGUGACAGCUGAAACACACCAUAGAACACACUCGAUUUUGGCUGUUACUCAGUCACUCAGCUUUACGCCAUCAGAUACCCUCUAAAUGGGUGUCACUGUAGCAUUUGUUAGUUGGAAUCAAGCCUGUGUACAUUGUUUGGCCUGCGAAUUGAGGUGCUACAGUCCCAGACAGCGCAAAACAGGUUCCAGUUUAGCUUUCUGUCACUCAUUUGACAUUUGCUCUCUCAGAUAUGAUCAUCUACACUUGAGAAGAACACCGCUUAGUCAGAAUGUCUGACUCUACCAGCCGCCAGCUCUCAACUAACUCUCAGUUCAUUCUGCUCUACGGACAUAUCCCCUGAGGAAAACUAGCCCCACCUUCACAAUAAAAAACC